CUGUUUCAGAUUGCAGGUGGUGACGAUAGCUGGUCAUGUGUCGGUGAAAACAUCUUUGAUGUUCUCUCAGAAAUGGAAAGGGAGAGGGAAAAGAAGGAAGGGAUGUACUGGGACCUCCAGCUGCUAAACACUGGAAAUUUCAACAAUCUUUAUGUGAUGGACAAGCCAGUUGAUGUGCUGAAUUGCCUGCAACAAAGUCCAAGCUCAAAUUGUUCUAAAAAGACUUGCAAACAACCAGAUUCAGGAUCAUUGGGGUCGUGCACAGUUGACACAGACAGUGUACAGGUAUGUGCUCUCAGUGAGGAUUUUCUCCUGCAUGGGGACAGAAACUCUGUUCAUCAAUAUUUGCACAUCUUUUACUUGCCACACAGAUGGGGAGACUGGUCGGGGGAAAAGAGCUGUAUGGAAGAGGGAGGGGUGCGAAGAGGCUCGAUAAAACAGGCAGGCAUUGCUGGGCCAGGUGAGCAGGCCUUGAUUAUUUCUUUUGUGUAGUACUAGACACAGCGAUGCUAUCACAGUUCACAGGGAAACACUUUUUACAACACUACAUUACAUUUAUUAUGAAGGACUGCAUUAGUUUGCUGACUGAGGUCAUACCUCUAAACACAGCAAAUAAUAAACUCAUAAUAUGAUACAUUGCUAUAGUAAAACAGUAUAAAGAAUACAUUUUAGACUUACAGCCAUAUUGCCCAUGUAUUACAAUGGUACAUGUGUGAUAAGGCAAUGAGUUAACUUUAAAUUUAGAGAUGAAUGUGUUAUUUCUUCUUUUAAAUAUUACAUAACAUUUCCAGAUUGCAUUAUUGCUUCUUUUACUUUAAGUAAAUGAGCAGAAUAUUUUCCACCACUACAAACAAACAAACACCUUUGCAUAACAUUACAAGCCAAUCCUCAUAUAUCAAAAUGCUUAUUUACUGUAAUUAUGAUAUUGAUGUGUAUUUGUGUUUGUCUUCUUAGACUGGCGUCAGAGGGUGUGCAAAGUAUAUUGCCCACUCCCUGGCUGGGGAGAAGACAGGGAGUCCAAGGUCAGGCCUGGGGUUGUGUCUCCCUGGCAGACAUUCUCCUCUUGGUGAAAGUGAAGUAUGAUGUUGUGACCCACUUGCUUUAUACAGAAAUGCUUCAUGAACACCACAGUAAGGAAGAUUACUCUCACAAUAUACAGCAACACAAUCCCAUAACUCUAAGUACUAGCAAUUACUAGCAAUACUUAAAUCCUGGUCCAGAUUCUUCAUAUUCCUGUUUUUCUUUUAUUAUUGUUGAGUCCACAUCUUCAAGUGUCUGGGAAACUCUGCUGCCAUGGCAACAACAAAAGGAAGACGAGGGGCUGGAGGAGCUUGCAGAGGAGGUUUUGGUGUCAGGUGACAUGCUCUGUUUGGCUGAGCUGCCAGGUGCAUUCAGGAUAUACAGGACCCAUCUGGGUGCAUCUUUGACAGAACAAUCCUGGUCUGCCAUUUCUCUCUUGUACGAGAUACACACAUGUCAUGGACAAGAAAGGGACACACUGACGGUCCUGGUGGAGAGGUAGAUGCUUAAGACACACAUCUGGUUUUGAUCACAUACAGUAAAUUGGAACCUUUGUGGAGUAAGCCACUAUUAGAGCUCAGGGACGGAAAAAUGUAGAUGGGGUAGUCAGGCUAGGGCACACACUCCUGUGGUCACAUCUGAAAUAGCUGAUCUUGUAAUUUCCAGGCUGGACAGGGAGGGCAUGAGACUGUUAUGUCUAUACAUCAGGUUGGCAACUCUCAGAGCUCAGAGAGAAAAAAUGUCCUACAGUGCUCUUCUGGCAGCAAGGCAAUCCUGGGAGACAUGGUGAGCCCACAAACGCUAACAGUGAAAACAGUUAAACACUGAAAGUUAACAUCUACUCGCCUUCAUCAAGUACAGCACACUAAGUUUCAGCUGUGUACUGUCGGCCCCUCAUCUGUGCAUUCAGGCCGCAUAUUAAGAGUCCAUGCAGGGCAGAACAGGCUGCUCUGUGGCUACAGGAUAAAGAGGAAGAGCAAAACCAAGACUUGAUCUCACUAUCACCACAGCAGGUACUGUACAUCUGAUAAUGAACCACUGCUCCUGAGACAUGUGCUGCACAAUAUAAUACUGCUUUUAAAUUGCACAGAUUCUAUUCUUUUUUUUG